rnacentral:rRNA from 1 species
AUUGAACGCUGGCGGCAGGCCUAACACAUGCAAGUCGAGCGGAUGAAGGGAGCUUGCUCCUGGAUUCAGCGGCGGACGGGUGAGUAAUGCCUAGGAAUCUGCCUGGUAGUGGGGGAUAACGUCCGGAAACGGCGCUAAUACCGCAUACGUCCUGAGGGAGAAAGUGGGGGAUCUUCGGACCUCACGCUAUCAGAUGAGCCUAGGUCGGAUUAGCUAGUUGGUGGGGUAAAGGCCUACCAAGGCGACGAUCCGUAACUGGUCUGAGAGGAUGAUCAGUCACACUGGAACUGAGACACGGUCCAGACUCCUACGGGAGGCAGCAGUGGGGAAUAUUGGACAAAGGGCGAAAGCCUGAUCCAGCCAUGCCGCGUGUGUGAAGAAGGUCUUCGGAUUGUAAAGCACUUUAAGUUGGGAGGAAGGGCAGUAAGUUAAUACCUUGCUGUUUUGACGUUACCAACAGAAUAAGCACCGGCUAACUUCGUG